GCCCGACUUGGAGUACAUAGAUAAGGAGAAUAUCUGCGAAAAAGGAUCAGUAUUCUUCCCAUUCCUAAAGAAACUCUGGAUCGAUAAUUGUCCUAACCUAAAGGGAUGGUGGAAGAAGAGAUUUGAUGAUCCAACAUCAAAAAUAUCAGAGCUGCCCCAGUUUCCUUGUCUUUCUUUGUUGGAAAUAAAGCAUUGUCCUAAGCUCUCUUGGAUGCCAUUGUUUCCAUCCCUUGAUGAGAGGUUGUAUUAUGUAAAUGCUGGCAUACAGCCGCUGCUGCAAACGAUGAAGAUCAAGACAAUGCCAAGUGAGCUUGAAGGUGUGCAGUUAUCAAACAGGGUUUCUUCCUUCACAAAACUUAAAGAAUUAUGGCUUUCUGAAUUAACAGAUUUAGAGUACAUAGAUAGUGAGGGGGAUUGUUAUAGUGGAGGGCAAAGAGGAUCAACUGUUUUCCCAUCCUUGAAGAAACUUUGGAUCUAUUAUUGUCCUAACUUGAAGGGAUGGUGGAAGAAGAGGAAUGAUGACAUGACUACCACAACAGCAGCAGAUCUACCCUGGUUUCCUCGUCUUUCUCUAUUGGAAAUAAAGCAUUGUCCUAAGCU
rnacentral:misc_RNA from 1 species